GUGAGGAAUAUUGCGCAAUGGGGGAAACCCUGACGCAGCAACGCCGCGUGGGUGAAGAAGGCUUUCGGGUUGUAAAGCCCUGUCAGGUGGGAAGAACCUUCUGCAGGUGAAUAGUCUGCGGAACUGACGGUACCACCAAAGGAAGCACCGGCUAACUCCGUGCCAGCAGCCGCGGUAAGACGGAGGGUGCAAGCGUUGUUCGGAAUCACUGGGCGUAAAGCGCGUGUAGGCGGUCCGAUAAGUCGAAUGUGAAAGCCCGGGGCUCAACCUCGGAAGUGCAUUCGAAACUGUCGGGCUUGAGUACGGGAGAGGGAAGUGGAAUUCCUGGUGUAGAGGUGAAAUUCGUAGAUAUCAGGAGGAACACCGGUGGCGAAGGCGGCUUCCUGGACCGAUACUGACGCUGAGACGCGAAAGCGUGGGGAGCAAACAGGAUUAGAAACCCCGGUAGUCC
rnacentral:rRNA from 1 species